CAAAACCCAUCAAUUUCAAUCCUCAUCCGCAGCAAAUUUUGAAAACCCAGAAAAACCACUAACAAAGUCGAAUCAAUUUCCUGAUUUCCAACAAACAAUACAAAAUCAUGAUGAAAGUUCCGAUUUUUGCCCUCCUGAUCUGCCUCCUCUUCGUCGCGUCGAAUGGGUACGGCGGCAUGGUCGGAGGAAGGAAGGAGAUCGAGAACGUGAAGACGAACAAGGAGGUUCAAGAGUUGGGGAGGUUUUCGGUAGAGGAGUAUAACAGGCAGAGGGGUACCCAGAAG
rnacentral:lncRNA from 1 species